UAAAGUGCUUACAGUGCAGGUAGUGAUGAUAAUCUGGCCUACUGCAUUGUGAGCACUUCUUUC
ensembl:miRNA